rnacentral:rRNA from 1 species
AGAGUUUGAUCAUGGCUCAGGACGAACGCUGGCGGCGUGCUUAAUACAUGCAAGUCGAGCGGACCGAGCGGCGCGUUGCUGGUUUCCAGCGACAAGCUGCAAAGGUUAGCGGCGAACGGGUGAGUAACACGUGGGUAAUCUGCCCCCAAGACCGGGAUAACAGAGCGAAAGCGCUGCUAAUACCGGAUGACCUCUCUUUAUCGCAUGGUGGAGGGAGCAAAGCGUAAGCGCUUGGGGAUGAGCCCGCGUUCCAUUAGCUAGUUGGUGAGGUAACGGCUCACCAAGGCGACGAUGGAUAGCCGGCCUGAGAGGGUGACCGGCCACACUGGGACUGAGACACGGCCCAGACUCCUACGGGAGGCAGCAGUAGGGAAUUUUCGGCAAUGGGGGAAACCCUGACCGAGCAACGCCGCGUGAGGGAUGAAGGCCUUCGGGUCGUAAACCUCUGUCUUUGGGGACGAUAAUGACGGUACCCGAGGAGGAAGCCCCGGCUAACUACGUGCCAGCAGCCGCGGUAAU